rnacentral:misc_RNA from 1 species
AAGUCGUAACAAGGUUUCCGUAGGUGAACCUGCGGAAGGAUCAUUAACACGUAUCCACGUAUCAAACAUCAACCCGUGAACCAAACCUUCCCUGCUGGAAAUAGUAGAUCGUCCUGGUCGUCUGCUCGUGAUGGUGUACAGUUUUCGGACUGUACAGGCAACCGACUGACUAGUAGGUCUUUGAACUUACAAUCUCUAUUAUCAGUGGGCCUAUCUGUCAUCUUGGCCCCAUCCUGACGCUACCAUUCAUGGUGGCAGGAUGGUGCUGUCAAGGUGCGUCAACAACCCCUUUUAUAUUCACCACUAUCAACCUUAUUUGACUGAUGAACACAGCGGUGUGAAAACACUUGUCUGUGGAGAUUAUCUAAACUAAGCACAACUCUUAGCAAUGGAUAUCUUGGUUCUC